UACAGAGGGUGCGAGCGUUGUCCGGAAUCAUUGGGCGUAAAGAGCUCGUAGGCGGUUCGGCAAGUCGGAUGUGAAAUCUCCACGCUCAACGUGGAGGGGCCAUUCGAAACUGCCGUGACUUGAGUCCGGUAGGGGAGUGCGGAAUUCCCGGUGUAGCGGUGAAAUGCGCAGAUAUCGGGAGGAACACCAGUGGCGAAGGCGGCACUCUGGGCCGGAACUGACGCUGAGGAGCGAAAGCGUGGGGAGCGAACAGG
rnacentral:rRNA from 1 species